rnacentral:tRNA from 1 species
CCAUCGGUAGCUCAGUUGGAAGAGCUCCCGGCUCUUAACCGGAGGGUCGCGAGUUCGAAUCUCGCCCGUUGGACCA